rnacentral:rRNA from 1 species
GCGCGAAAACUUUACACUGCGGGAAACCGCGAUAAGGGGACCCCGAGUGCCAACAGUUGUAGCAAGGGCCGGGCAAGACCGGUGCCAGCCGCCGCGGUAACACCGGCGGCCCGAGUGGUAGCCGUUAUUAUUGGGUUUAAAGGGUCCGUAGCCGGCCUAUUAAGUCUCUUGGGAAAUCUGGCGGCUCAAUCGUCAGGCUCCAAGAGAUACUGGUAGGCUUGGGACCGGGAGAGGUGGGAGGUACUCCAGGGGUAGGGGUGGAAUCUCGUAAUCCUUGGGGGACCACCGAUGGCGAAGGCAUCCCACCAGAACGGGUCCGACGGUGAGGGACGAAAGCUGGGGGCACGAACCGGAUUAGAUACCCGGGUAGUCCCAGCCGUAAACGAUGCUCGCUAGGUGUCAGGUGCGGUGCGACCGCAUCUGGUGCCGCAGUGAAAACUUGAAGCGAGUCACCUGGGAAGUACGGUCGCAAGGCUGAAACUUAAAGGAAUUGGCGGGGGAGCACACAACGGGUGGAGCCUGCGGUUCAAUUGGAUUCAACGCCGGAAAGCUUACCGGGUCAGACAGAAUAUGAAGGUCAAGCUAAAGACUUUACCGAAUUCGCUGAGAAGUAGUGCAUGGCC